rnacentral:rRNA from 1 species
UACGGGGGGGGCAAGCGUUGUUCGGAAUUACUGGGCGUAAAGGGCUCGUAGGUGGCCAACUAAGUCAGACGUGAAAUCCCCAGGCUCAACUUGGGAACUGCGUCUGAUACUGGAUGGCUUGAAUUCGGGAGAGGGAUGCAGAAUUCCAGGUGUAGCAGUGAAAUGCGUAGAUAUCUGGAGGAAUACCGGUGGCGAAGGCGGCAUCCUGGACCGAGAUUGACACUGAUGAGCGAAAGCUAGGGGAGCAAACGGG